rnacentral:lncRNA from 1 species
GUGCUCUGCCUUCAAGCCAGUGCGCAAUACUCUUUCUGCUACCACAUGUCUUUUUUAAUGUGUUGCCAAACACUACAUACUCCCGCCGCAGCCAGGAACACCACAAAUCUUGAUGGGAAAAGAAGCAGAAGAGAAGGCAGAACCAAGACCAAGCUGCUGCCUGGCGUGGGAGGAAUUGACUCACUUGGUAAUGGAGGCCGAGAAGUCCCACGGUCGGCUGUCUGCAAGCUGGAGGCCCAGGAAAGCCGGUGGUGUCCUUCAGUCCACACUCCAAGGCCUGAGAACCCGGGGAGCCGAUGGCGUGAAUCCCCGUUGGGGGGCAGAAGAUGCGAUGUGCACUGAGAGGUUCCAUCUCAGCAGUGAGGCAGAAAAGGAGAGGCGAGUCCCCCCCCCCCCGCCCCUUACUCUAUCCAGGCCCUCGCAGCACAAGCUGAGGCCCUGCCACACGGGGGAGGGCAAUCCACUUAACUCGGUCUCCUGAUUGAAACACGAAUCUCAC